rnacentral:rRNA from 1 species
AGCGUAGGCGGUUAAAUAAGUCUGAUGUGAAAGCCCGGAGCUCAACUCCGGGAUUGCAUUGGAAACUGUAUAACUAGAGUGUUGGAGAGGUAAGUGGAAUUCCUAGUGUAGCGGUGAAAUGCGUAGAUAUUAGGAGGAACACCAGUGGCGAAGGCGGCUUACUGGACAAUUACUGACGCUGAGGCUCGAAAGCGUGGGGAGCAAACA